rnacentral:rRNA from 1 species
GUGGGGAAUUUUGCGCAAUGGGGGCAACCCUGACGCAGCGACGCCGCGUGGAGGACGAAGUCUUUCGGGAUGUAAACUCCUGUCAGUGGGGACGAUAAUGACGGUACCCACAGAGGAAGCACCGGCUAACUCCGUGCCAGCAGCCGCGGUAAGACGGAGGGUGCAAGCGUUGUUCGGAAUUACUGGGCGUAAAGCGUAUGUAGGCGGCAAGUUAAGUUCAAUGUUAAAGCCCACGGCUCAACCGAGGAGAUGCAUUGAAUACUGGCUAGCUAGAGGGUGUUAGAGGAAGACGGAAUUCCCAGUGUAGCGGUGAAAUGCGUAGAUAUUGGGAGGAACAUCGGUAGCGAAAGCGGUCUUCUGGGACAUACCUGACGCUGAGGUACGAAAGCGUGGGGAGCAAACGGGAUUAGAAACCCCAGUAGUCC